UACGUAGGGGGCUAGCGUUGUCCGGAAUCAUUGGGCGUAAAGAGCGUGUAGGCGGUCCGGUAAGUCCGCUGUGAAAGUCGGGGGCUCAACCCUCGAAUGCCGGUGGAUACUGUCGGGCUAGAGUGCGGAAGAGGCGAGUGGAAUUUCUGGUGUAGCGGUGAAAUGCGCAGAUAUCAGGAGGAACACCUAUUGCGAAGGCAGCUCGCUGGGACGUUACUGACGCUGAGACGCGAAAGCGUGGGGAGCAAACAGG
rnacentral:rRNA from 1 species